rnacentral:rRNA from 1 species
GAUGAACGCUGGCGGCGUGCCUAAUACAUGCGAGUCGAGCGAACGGACGAGAAGCUUGCUUCUCUGAUGUUAGCGGCGGACGGGUGAGUAACACGUGGAUAACCUACCUAUAAGACUGGGAUAACUUCGGGAAACCGGAGCUAAUACCGGAUAAUAUUUCGAACCGCAUGGUUCAAAAGUAAAAGACGGUCUUGCUGUCACUUAUAGAUGGAUCCGCGCUGCAUUAGCUAGUUGGUAAGGUAACGGCUUACCAAGGCAACGAUGCAUAGCCGACCUGAGAGGGUGAUCGGCCACACUGGAACUGAGACACGGUCCAGACUCCUACGGGAGGCAGCAGUAGGGAAUCUUCCGCAAUGGGCGAAAGCCUGACGGAGCAACGCCGCGUGAGUGAUGAAGGUCUUCGGAUCGUAAAACUCUGUUAUUAGGGAAGAACAUAUGUGUAAGUAACUGUGCACAUCUUGACGGUACCUAAUCAGAAAGCCACGGCUAACUACGUG